CUCUCCUACGGGACGCAGCAGUGGGGAAUAUUGCACAAUGGGGGAAACCCUGAUGCAGCGACGCCGCGUGAAGGAAGAAGUAUUUCGGUAUGUAAACUUCUCUCAGCAGGGAAGAAAAUGACGGUACCUGACUAAGAAGCCCCGGCUAACUACGUGCCAGCAGCCGCGGUAAUACGUAGGGGGCAAGCGUUAUCCGGAUUUACUGGGUGUAAAGGGAGCGUAGACGGCAGCGCAAGUCUGGAGUGAAAUGCCGGGGCUCAACCCCGGAACUGCUUUGGAAACUGUGCGGCUCGAGUGCG
rnacentral:rRNA from 1 species